rnacentral:rRNA from 1 species
AGUGAACGCUGGCGGUAGGCCUAACACAUGCAAGUCGAACGGCAGCACAGGAAAGCUUGCUCUCUGGGUGGCGAGUGGCGGACGGGUGAGGAAUACAUCGGAAUCUACUCUGUCGUGGGGGAUAACGUAGGGAAACUUACGCUAAUACCGCAUACGACCUACGGGUGAAAGCAGGGGACCUUCGGGCCUUGCGCGAUUGAAUGAGCCGAUGUCGGAUUAGCUAGUUGGCGGGGUAAAGGCCCACCAAGGCGACGCUCCGUAGCUGGUCUGAGAGGAUCAUAAGCCACACUGGAACUGAGACACGGUCCAGACUCCUACGGGAGGCAGCAGUGGGGAAUAUUGGACAAUGGGCGCAAGCCUGAUCCAGCCAUACCGCGUGGGUAAAGAAGGCCUUCGGGUUGUAAAGCCCUUUUGUUGGGAAAGAAAUCCAGCUGGCUAAUACCCGGUUGGGAUGACGGUACCCAAAGAAUAAGCACCGGCUAACUUCGUGCCAGCCGCCGCGGUAA